AUCCUUUUGUAGUUCAUGAGCGUGAUGAUUGGGUGUUUCACGCACGUGUGUGCGAUGUGCCACCCUCGAACCUUGUAUGACAUCGGCACGUUACCCAUCUGACC
ensembl:snoRNA